AAAUAACGGGAAUUACUGGAUGACCCUCCCUCUCCCUUAACCUCUCCAGUUCAAGUUUGCACACAAUUUAAUCUCAGCUUGACAGCAGAGUAAGUUCCUGCUCCACACAGCGCUCCGAGGAUCGGGGCAGUGAGGUUCUGAACCACAAAAAAUAUGCUGUUGUCAUGUCUCUCACAUCAACUUAUACGGAAGGGUUAAGCUAUACAAGAACUGAAAUAGGUUUUGACUCAGUUGCUUUUCUUGGAUUCGCCCCUUUUCACAAGUCUUCAAGUUGUUGCUAACAAUAGUGCUUAAAUAUUCAUGUUCUUUACCAUGUUUUGACCGCACUGCAUUUUGCUCACUGUUACUUUUUGGACUCUCCUA